GCCCCGGUGGUGAAAUUGGUCAGACACUCGGGACUUAAAAUCCCGCGCCCUCACGGGCAUGGCGGUUCGAGUCCGCCCCGGGGCACCA
rnacentral:tRNA from 1 species